GCAAACUUGGUCAUUUAGAGGAAGUAAAAGUCGUAACAAGGUUUCCGUAGGUGAACCUGCGGAAGGAUCAUUACCGUAGAGAUCUCCGGAUCGCUACUAGAGAUAGAACCCCUGUCUUUUCGAGUACCUCCCGUUUCCUCGGCAGGUUUGCCUGCCAAUGGGGACAACCUCAAAACUAUUUGUAAUAGCAGUAAACGUCUAAAAACAAAAAAACAUUUUAAAACUUUCAACAACGGAUCUCUUGGUUCUGGCAUCGAUGAAGAACGCAGC
rnacentral:misc_RNA from 1 species